UGUUCUCUCUGGACUCCCGUAACAAACACCAGUGAACACGCAGGUCCUUUCUCCCUGAAGCCGCUGACGGAUGUCCCACCCUGGGUAGUGAAUGCAAGGGACCAUGUGUGCAGUGCUUACGGAGUCUGUUAAUGGGUGUCCUACUCCCUGGCAGUCCACCCACCAGGCAAUGCACUGAAUGGGCCCGUGAGACUGAAUGGGGCUCUACGUAACGGCAGCCAAUUUUCCUGGUCAACAGGGAGGCGCGGUGCCAAGGCUGUGUGUGAGAGCCUGCCGCUGGGAGGGUUUACCCCUUCUCCUCUGUUCCUGAGCCCUGGGGAGUGGCAUAGACUGUUCUCUGCUCAUCCUGCAGAGACCUGGGAUGCUCUGGGCUACUCAUUUGCUCCCUGUGACCAGCACUGCACUUACACAUGUUCAAAGUAGGUAAGAGUUCGGAUUCUCCCUCUCUCAGGAGGUUCCUGACUCUGCAGUGGAUCUUCAGAGGUAGGAGCACUGCAGAAGUCCUGGGUAUCCUGGAGCUCCCAUAUAGCACAGGAAAAAUCUAUUAUGGGAAAGCUGCUAAUAGCAGAGGUAAGCUCUUACCCACAUUUUCCACUGGUGUUACAGACUCUGGAGAAUCAGCUUGUUUCAGCCAGGUUCCCAAACUGCUUUUUGGUGUUUAUCCAAAACAAGCCUGUGCAUUGACAUUUCCUAUCCCAAAAUUGUCUAACCAAAUUAAAGGAAUGAACCCAGUUGCACAGAUGCUGCUCCAUUAUGCUUCUACAACUGGAGUGGGGCCAGAACACAACCCCAGCUCAACUUCCCUCUUCUCCCCCAAAAAGAGCCAUAUGAGGACACUGAAGCUCAGUCCAGAUCUAACUUUCGCAGCCAACCCCUUUCUAUGUGGUGAGUAAAAUCCUAAUGCACUUUAAAGCAGUUCAGAAACAUGGCCAUGUGUAACUGUUGGGCAUUUGACCAGUAGGGUUCAUAAUGCUGUUCAGUUUGGACUAUUUGGGUUACAAAAAUCCAUCCCAUAAGGAUGGUCUGUCACUUGCAUGUCUUCAUGUUGACUUAAAGUUGGGCCCUUUUGUUUUGCAUGCUUUCUCGCUUUCCAAGGCAUGUGUGUUGCUCUUCUAGCCAUCUCCUUAUGGUGAUGAGACUCGGGGCCACACAUUCUGUAAUCUGGGAUUUUCACAGCUGCUGCUCUUUGGAAUGGUUGCAAGAGGUGCUGAGUUGGGUGGGAUGACCUGUUGCUCUCUGGUUUAUUUCUUUAGAGCAUCUCUAACAAGAAAGACUGUAAGAUAUAUAAUUAAAAUACUUCUAGAUUACCAAGUCUUGUCUUGUCAAACUUCUUGUUAUGACUCCUUGUGAAUGUGACAUUUGUGAGCUGUUUUACCACAGCUUUUAAUCACUUUUUGGUGAGAAAAGAAGUUACAUAAUUCAAGCUUUUCCUUCUUCCUUCUCUUUUUUGCACUCAAAUUUACCAUAUUUGCAGAUAAACUGUGCCUAUGUCAGCAGCUGGUGUGGUGCAGCAGGAAGCAGAUCCACAGAGGUGGCUGUUUUGUGCCAAGGACUUGGUGCUCUCAGACCCAGGAGAUGAGACCACUGUUUUACCUGAACACAUGCCAUGGGGGCACACCAUGGGUUGGGUGAGGGAUGCUGCUCUCCCAGGACCUCUUGCAACACAUUGUCUUGGAGAUGUUUCAUAAGGCAGGGACGAAUUCCCCCCCUUUGGACACGUGUCGCCUCCCAGAACUAAACAUUCACAUGUCACAUCCUGUUCGAGGAGUUGUUUUAAUGGAUGCGCUGCCAACAAAGACACUUGGGUUUCGAUGGCUGAUCCUUUGCAAUUGUAACGGCAUUUAAUGAAAGGUUUUGUCUUUGGAAGGACAAAAUAUCCUUUAUCCAGCUUCAACUUUUGAAGGAAACACUACAAACAUUUUUGGAUUGGAUGUGAAAUGUUGUGUAAAUUCUGUAAUACCAAGGGAGAAAAUAUGUCCUUUCCUUAUUAACAAACUGUAUAUCAAAACAAGAGUGCUUAAAGCCUAAAUGGUUUUAUACACAAUGAAUUCAUCAGAGUUUUACAUCCCCAGUAAGGGGAGUAUUUAAAUACAGAUAAAAUGUGCAAAAAUAAUUUAUAUAUGAAACUAAAGAUA